CUGCCCAGUGAGUAUUUCAACGGCCGCGGUAUCUUGACCGUGCAAAGGUAGCAUAAUCAAUUGCCUUUUAAUUAAAGGCUAGUAUGAAUGGACACACAAGAAUAAAGCUGUCUCGUUUAGAAUACAUAAAAUCUGUACGAUAGGUGAAAAUUCCUAUAUUACAAUAAAAGACAAGAAGACCCUAUAGAGCUUCAUCCAUAGCUGUUAAACACACCACUAUAGAAUUAAUUGGGACAAUUAAAAAACAUUUAUACCUUUUUACCUAACUACACCAACCCUUUAAUGUAUAUGAACAUAGCUACCUUAGGGAUAACAGGCUAAUUUUGCUAGAGAGAUCACAUUGACAGCAAAGAUUGGCACCUCGAUGUUGGCUUAGUGUAACUGUUGAGCGCAGCCGCUCAAUAAAGUUGGUUUGUUCAACCAUUAAAUCACUACGUGAUCU
rnacentral:rRNA from 1 species